AAAAAAGAUUUGCUUUCUAGAAUUCAUGGUUUUAUUUAAUGUGUUUUUCUUUUGUUUUUAUGAUUUCUCAAAUCUACAAAUUGGUGAUUUCCAUGCACUGAAUCAUUGCUCUGUUUUUUCAUUGGUUAUGAAUUUUUCUGUAAGUUUUUCAAUUAGAUGUGCAUAUGAAAAAAAUUAUUUGUGGCUAAUGAUGAUAUGUAUGGGGAGCAGGAGUUCCAUGGACAGAGGAGGAGCACAAGCUGUUCCUUUUAGGA
rnacentral:misc_RNA from 1 species